AAUGAACGCUGGCGGCGCGCCUAAUACAUGCAAGUCGAGCGAGAAGACGUAGCAAUACGUUUGUAAAGCGGCGAACGGGUGAGGAAUACAUGGGUAACCUACCCUCGAGUGGGGAAUAACUAGCCGAAAGGUUAGCUAAUACCGCGUACGCUCCUUGGACUUCGGUUCAGGGAGGAAAGCGAUACCGUGGGUAUCGCGCUCUUGGUUGGGCUCAUGUCCUAUCAGCUUGUUGGUGAGGUAACGGCUCACCAAGGCUUCGACGGGUAGCUGGU
rnacentral:rRNA from 1 species